CCCUGAAGUCUGCUCCAGCACUUGGUCUCCCCUGCUUCGAGAGCAUGAGCUGAGCAAAUAUGCUGUCGUCGGAGAACAGUGAAGGCAGCCCCUCAGGGAGCAGAAGCUGCUGCGCCUGAAGAUGCUGGGCAAGCUAACAGCAGGACCGCAAGGUGGGACCUUAAUGGUGGAUCACCCUCGUCUCUGAGAGCAGCACCAAAAGCAGACAAGGACUCAGACG